rnacentral:rRNA from 1 species
UACGUAGGUGGCAAGCGUUGUCCGGAUUUAUUGGGCGUAAAGAGCUCGUAGGCGGCUUGUCGCGUCGGCUGUGAAAACCCGCGGCUCAACUGUGGGCGGGCAGCUGAUACGGGCAGGCUGGAGUUCGGUAGGGGAGACUGGAAUUCCUGGUGUAGCGGUGAAAUGCGCAGAUAUCAGGAGGAACACCAAUGGCGAAGGCAGCUCGCUGGGACGUGACUUACGCUGAGACGCGAAAGCGUGGGGAGCAAACAGG